GACGAACGCUGGCGGCGUGCUUAACACAUGCAAGUCGAACGAGUGGCGAACGGGUGAGUAACACGUGGGUGAUCUGCCUUGCACUUAGGGAAAAGCUUGGGAAACUGGGUCUAAUACCGGAUAGUGCAAGAUGAGUGCGCGGCCUAUACGCUUGUUGGUGGGGGAAGGGCUACAAAGGCGGGACGGGUAGCCGGCCUGAGAGGGUGUACGGACACAUUGGGACUGAGAAGCGGCGCAGACCCCUACGGGAGGCAGCAGUGGGGAAUAGUGCACAAUGGGCGGAAGCCUGAUGUAGAGACGCCGGGUGGGGGAUGAGGGCCUUCGGGUUGUAAACUCCUUUCGUCAGGGACGCGGGACCUGUAUAAGAAGCACCGGCUAACUACGUGCCAGCAGCCGCGGUAAUUG
rnacentral:rRNA from 1 species